GCCUUUCAUGAACAAACACACACAGAAAUUGGGGUGAGGGAGACUGCACACAAUGUGGCUGGUUGUGUUAUGGAUGAAGCCAAGGCUAAUGACCAGAAAUCUCCAGCAGUCUGUACAGAGAAAAGAGCAAGUGUUCUAGUAAGAAGUCUGUGGCUCAGAGAGACAAAGUGUUUUUUUUAAGAACACACAACAAACAAGAAGCGGAAUCAGGAUUUGACUCUGUAUCCAACUGACACCCAAACACCAAAUUUUCCAUCAUCUAUGCUUGUUGAAGUUUUUAAUUUAAUAUUCACUCAAUUCCUUUUUAAUAUGCAAGAACUCACAGAAACCCACACAGCCUCCAUAGGAGAACUGGUAUUUAAG
rnacentral:lncRNA from 1 species